ACUCUGCUUCUUUCAUCACGUGAUUCUCUUCCUCAUAGCCUGCAGCUCCUCCUCCAUUUUGGUCUUCAUUUCCAAUUCCAUCGACAGAGACAUAAAUACCAAACAAAAAAAGAGCCUUUCAAAAUUUCAUUUGUGUUCUGUUUCUUUUUACCGACAACCCCCCAAACCCAGAAACCCAACAAAACCCCAAUUUUACCAUAUAUACUUGUUUUGUUGAUAUCAUUAUAUAGGCCAGAAAGCGAGAAAGCUCCUUCCUUUAAUUUCCACCCCUCUUCUUCUCCUUCUUCUUCUUCACUUUCCUCUUUGCUGAAAACCACAGAAAUAGAACAGUAAAAGACACUCACUACUCUGCUAUUUCUGCAGCAAGAGACGACCCCAUCAUCAUCAUCCUCAUCAUACUACCCACUUCCCUUUCCUUUCCUUCCUUACCCUCAUAGUCAAACAAGAGGGGGGUUUUGUAGGUAACUAGUUAUAAGAGUAGGGGGAAGAAGUAAAAAUAAGAGUUUUUAAGAGGGGGGAAAAUGCAGCAGCAACAGCACCUGAUGCAGAUGCAGCAGCAGCAGCAACAGCAGCAGCCCACUAUGGCAGCAGCAGCAGCAGCUUCCUAUUACCCUAACAACGUCACUACCGAUCACAUUCAACAGGUCCCCCUUUCCCUUUCUCUGAUGUCCUGCUGGGUUAUUGUUAUCCAGUUAUAUUUGGAUAUUGUUUCUUUCUGGGUUUGUUUCUUUUUUCUACUGGCCCUGCCUCUUUGAUCAGACUUGCUGGGAUUUCUACCUCUUCCCACCCCUCCUUUUUAACGACUUUGUUUGGGCCAAAGAUUGUGACUUUUUCCUCUGUCUCACUGAAAUCCUCUGUUUUUGCUUCGUCAAAUUUGCUGCUGUAUUUGUUUAUUCCAAUCUUUCAAGUGGUCGCAAUCUGUGUGCAGUGUUGUAAGAUCCCAUUUGUUUAUUUUGUGGGCUAACUCAUGUCCCUCGUUUUUCCUUUUUGUUUUGCCACCUUUUAUUAUUGCUUUUCUUUGGAGCCUAAUUAGAGUGACUUGAGCUUACAAUCUAGCUACUACAUUUAUGGACCACUCCGAACAAACAAAUUUGAAAGAAGAUGCUAACACAGGUUAAGAACACCAGUAACAGGACAGGGUUUGGUUGAUUUGGUUUCUAAAAAACCAGAUUAGUUUGUGGUCUGAUUUUGAGAUUCUCUGCCAGUAUAUAUACAGGAGUUUUUACACUGCAAAGUUCUGCAGCUGCAAUCUCUUCAUGUAGAGGGGAUAGAUUUGGUUGGUGGAUUCUGUUUUUGACUACUGUAAAUAGAUAUAAACACCGAAGAAAUCAAAUCAAAAGUAUCCAAUAACUAUUAUUAUGUAAUCAAUACUCUGCCAUGAGUAGUCAGUCAGUCAUAUAGAGUAGCUGCCUUAUGUGUGAAGGUAGAGCAA
rnacentral:lncRNA from 1 species